rnacentral:rRNA from 1 species
CCUACGGGAGGCAGCAGUGGGGAAUAUUGGGCAAUGGGCGCAAGCCUGACCCAGCAACGCCGCGUGAAGGAAGAAGGCUUUCGGGUUGUAAACUUCUUUUCUGAGGGACGAAGAAAGUGACGGUUCCUCAGGAAUAAGCCACUGCGAACUACGUGCCAGCAGCCGUGGUAAUACGUAGGUGGCAAGCGUUCUCCGUAUUUGUUGGGUGUAAAGGGCGUGUAGGCGGGAAAGCAAGUCAGAUGUGAAAACUCAGGGCUCAACCCUGAGCCUGCAUUUGAAAGUGUUUUUCUUGAGUGCUGGAGAGGCAAUCGGAAUUCCGGGUGUAGCGGUGAAAUGCGUAGAUAUACGGAGGAACACCAGUGGCGAAGGCGGAUUGCUGGACAGUAACUGACGCUGAGGCGCGAAAGCGUGGGGAGCAAACAGGAUUAGAUACCCGGGUAGUC